GAUGAACGCUGGCGGUGUGCCUAAUACAUGCAAGUCGAGCGAACGGACGAGAAGCUUGCUUCUCUGAUGUUAGCGGCGGACGGGUGAGUAACACGUGGAUAACCUACCUAUAAGACUGGGAUAACUUCGGGAAACCGGAGCUAAUACCGGAUAAUAUUUUGAACCGCAUGGUUCAAAAGUGAAAGACGGUCUUGCUGUCACUUAUAGAUGGAUCCGCGCUGCAUUAGCUAGUUGGUAAGGUAACGGCUUACCAAGGCAACGAUGCAUAGCCGACCUGAGAGGGUGAGCGGCCACACUGGAACUGAGACACGGUCCAGACUCCUACGGGAGGCAGCAGUAGGGAAUCUUCCGCAAUGGGCGAAAGCCUGACGGAGCAACGCCGCGUGAGUGAUGAAGGUCUUCGGAUCGUAAAACUCUGUUAUUAGGGAAGAACAUAUGUGUAAGUAACUGUGCACAUCUUGACGGUACCUAAUCAGAAAGCCACGGCUAACUACGUG
rnacentral:rRNA from 1 species